rnacentral:rRNA from 1 species
CCUACGGGAGGCAGCAGUGGGGAAUAUUGGACAAUGGGCGCAAGCCUGAUCCAGCCAUGCCGCGUGAGUGAUGAAGGCCUUAGGGUUGUAAAGCUCUUUUGUCCGGGACGAUAAUGACGGUACCGGAAGAAUAAGCCCCGGCUAACUUCGUGCCAGCAGCCGCGGUAAUACGAAGGGGGCUAGCGUUGCUCGGAAUCACUGGGCGUAAAGGGCGCGUAGGCGGCCGAUUAAGUCGGGGGUGAAAGCCUGUGGCUCGACCACAGAAUUGCCUUCGAUACUGGUUGGCUUGAGACCGGAAGAGGACAGCGGAACUGCGAGUGUAGAGGUGAAAUUCGUAGAUAUUCGCAAGAACACCAGUGGCGAAGGCGGCUGUCUGGUCCGGUUCUGACGCUGAGGCGCGAAAGCGUGGGGAGCAAACAGGAUUAGAUACCCUAGUAGUC